AGCAGCCGCGGUAAUUCCAGCUCCAAUAGCGUAUAUUAAAGUUGUUGCAGUUAAAAAGCUCGUAGUUGAAUUUCGGGAUCAAUACGUCGGUCGUGCCUCGGUACGUACUGGCGUUACUGGUUCCUACCUUCUGAGGAACCGUCAUGUCAUUAAUUUGGUGUGGUGGGAAAUCAGGACUGUUACUUUGAAAAAAUUAGAGUGUUUAAAGCAGGCUCGCGCUUGAAUACAUUAGCAUGGAAUAAUGAAAUAGGACGUUCGAUCCUAUUUUGUUGGUUUCUAGGAUUGACGUAAUGAUUAAUAGGGAUAGUUGGGGGCAUUAGUAUUCAAUUGUCAGAGGUGAAAUUCUUGGAUUUAUUGAAGACUAACUACUGCGAAAGCAUUUGCCAAGGAUGUUUUCGUUAAUCAAGAACGAAAGUUAGGGGAUCGAAGACGAUCAGAUACCGUCGUAGUCUUAACCAUAAACUAUGCCGACUAGGGAUCGGAUGAUGUUAAUUUUUUAAUGACUCA
rnacentral:rRNA from 1 species